AUCUGAGGUCUGACGAGGAUGAGAACCUCCGGGGGGCAAGAGGUUCGACCCGAGCGAAGCGAGAGAACGUUGCGCCAGCAACGGCCCGCAGUGGCAAGUCAUCCUCUGUCACCGGCA
rnacentral:sRNA from 1 species